AUUGAAGCGGCCGGGGGGAGGAGCGACGGUAGUCUCUCAGGGGCCCUCACCGAUUGGCCGAUGAGUUCCUAACGCGUGCGACCUGUCGUGGCGGCCGGGCCCCGACCAGGGACGCUGACGGAGCGGGGGCCCGCCCCCUGGCUGGUCCCUCAAGACUGUUCCUCUCGCUGGGAACCAGUAAGGAACUGGUCCGCUCGCUGGGAACCAGUAAGGAGCUGGUCCGCUCGCUGGGAACCAGUAAGGAGCUGGUCCGCUCGCUGGGAACCAGUAAGGAACUGGUCCUCUCGCUGGGAACCAGUAAGGAACUGGUCCUCUCGCUGGGAACCAGUAAGGAGCUGGCCGCUGGUCUCCUGUGUGUCUUCCACUCUGAAGCCAUAUUGUGUAUAAAGACAGAACCAUGAAUACCUUCAGCCCCCCGGCCCCAGGUGGACCUCCAGGUCUCCAGGUGGACCUCCAGGUGAACCUCUGGUCUCCAGGUAAACCUCCAGGUCUCCAGGUGAACCUCCAGGUGAACCUCUGGUCUCCAGGUGAACCUCCAGGUCUCCAGGUGAACCUCCAGGUGAACCUCUGGUCUCCAGCUGGACCUCCAGGCUCCAGGUGAACCUCCAGGUGAACCUCUGGCCUCCAGGUGACCCUCCAGGUCUCCAGGUGGACCUCUGGUCUCCAGGUGAGCCUGCAGGCUCCAGGUGAACCUUGAGACUGUAGGAACCAUUCCAACACUUCUUUGUAUUAUUGCAGUAUUAUAAAGUCAUCUCUAAGGUAAGCAUUAAACGGUAUUUCCCUUAAAAGAGUUAGAGACAACAUGGUUGUUGGGUUUUUUGUACUGUGGGGAAAAAAACAAUAAUUUACUAAAAACCAAGCAGAAGUGUUUGUCAGUUAGUCCUACUUAAAGCACACUAUGGAAGACCGAAUAACGACUAAUGUAGUCCAGACAUUCCUGAUGGGAGGAGAACGCGGAACGUCUCUCGUCUCGUUUGUAUGUAGAAAGAUCUCCUGUUUGAGCCAAGAGCAUUUUAGUAUUCGCUGUAUAUUGCUAAGACGUGUUCGUGUACAAAAGCCAUAUUGUUUUUUUGUUUGUUUGUUUAUUUUUCUCACCAUGAAUGAGAGUGAUAGAGUUUAAAAAGAAGAGAUUUAAAAAAAGAUGUAUCUAGAUGGCAACAUAACAUUAAGACUCUGAAGGCAUCCGGCCAGACUCUUUUGUCAUGUUCCUUAAGCGAUUAUGGGAAAAGUUAUUUAGGAGGGAGAGAACGAGGAUUCUUCUGAUCAUGUUUUAUCUUCUUUGUCUGAGCAGCACUUUGUUUUGGUACGAACUCAGAGCACUUCAGCGUUACUUUUUCUGUGUGUUGAACACAACGUCAUCCUCGCUCCCCAUUCGACCGCCGCGCCGCCCAGUCAAUGGUCGUUAAAAUGAGGGUGUGGCCCGCGGGCAUAAUGGUGAAUUCACACGCCACGCACACGUGGUCGCCACGGAGACCGCGAGGGCCCGAUAAACACAAACCCGGGCUUUCUCCUGGCCGAUAGCGGGUUCACCCCCGGAGAAAAGGAGGCUGCUGACAUCUGGAAUCAAACAUCAACACCUUUACGUCGCUAUUGUCUAGUUUGGAAUCAGGUUGAUGAAGAAAAAAACAUUGAAAAAAACAAGCACUAUACAAAGUAUAUGAUCAUAAUGUCAGUACAAAUGUAAUGUUUUUCAUUUCCAGGUAAAAUUAUUGAACUCCAUUUUAUGCAGAAAUAAUUACGCCAUCACUUUGUGGUUAUCCAGAUGAAGAAAAAUAAAAGUGUUUUAUUCCAAAUAGAGUGAAUUAAAAGGCGUGAUAUUUCUCACGACACAAUUGACCUUGUUAAAGUGAUCCUGAUACCGGAGGAAAAUAUUAAAGCAAUUUCCACAAGAUUGUCUUUGGCUGAAUAAAUGGGAAAUCCGGUGAUGCUGUGUACAUCUUUAUUACUGCCAAUCAAACAGGAUUAUUUGGCAUCUGCCUUUUUUGGAAUGAAACACAUUUAUGAUUGGAAUAGAAUUUGAAGGAACUAUCUUAGAACAUGCAAUGUAACAUAUGUUUCUGACGCUUUCCCAUGAGGAUUUAUGUAUCGGGGAAAUAUCUGAUGUUGACUCGUAAUGCCGGAAUCGAAUGUGCACUAUACAACCAUCCUAUAGCUGUUGUAUAUAAGGGUGUGCGAGAGAGAGAGAGAGAGAGAGAGAGAGAGAGAGAGAGAGAGAGAGAGAGAGAGAGAGAGAGAGAGAGUGUGUGUGUGUGUGUGUGUGUGUGUGUGUGUGUGUGUGUGUGGGUGUGUGUGUGUGUGUUCAGAUAGCCCCCCCCCCCCAUAUGCCCAUCACUGUGAAUCUAACCUCAUCCUUCCAUCUCUGUGAAUAUUUCAUCAAUUUCAGAUCUUGAAAUAAAAAUGAACCAAUGUAAAAAAAGAGCUGUGAUCCAGACGAUAAUAACAAUAAAAUAUCC
ensembl:lncRNA